UACGAGGGGGGCAAGCGUUGUUCGGAAUUAUUGGGCGUAAAGGGAGUGUAGGCGGUUUGGUAAGUCUCGUGUGAAAUCUUCAGGCUCAACCUGAAGUCUGCACGAGAAACUGCCGGGCUUGAGUAUGGGAGAGGUGAGUGGAAUUCCUGGUGUAGCGGUGAAAUGCGUAGAGAUGUGGAGGAAUACCAGUGGCGAAGGCGCCUUGCUGGACAGUGCCUGACGCUGAGGCGCGAAGGCGUGGGGAGCAAACAGGAUUAGAUACCCUGGUAGUCCACGCGGUAAACGAUGAGUGCUAGGUGUCGGAGGGUACCACCUCCGGUGCCGAAGGAAACCCAAUAAGCACUCCGCCUGGGGAGUACGGUCGCAAGACUGAAACUCAAAGGAAUUGACGGGGGCCCGCACAAGCAGUGGAGCAUGUGGUUUAAUUCGAAGCAACGCGAAGAACCUUACCAGGGCUUGACAUCCCCCUGACGGGCCGAGAGAUCGGUCGUCCCUUCGGGGCAGGGGAGACAGGUGGUGCAUGGUUGUCGUCAGCUCGUGUCGUGAGAUGUUGGGUUAAGUCCCGCAACGAGCGCAACCCUUGAUCAGUGUUACCAGCACGUAGUGGUGGGGACUCACUGAUGACUGCCGGUGACAAACCGGAGGAAGGCGGGGAUGACGUCAAAUCAUCAUGCCCCUUAUGUCCUGGGCCACACACGUGCUACAAUGGGCGGUACAACGGGAAGCAAGAGAGCGAUCUGGAGCGAAACCCUAAAAGCCGUUCGUAGUUCGGAUUGCAGGCUGCAACCCGCCUGCAUGAAGCCGGAAUUGCUAGUAAUCGCGGAUCAGCAUGCCGCGGUGAAUCCGUUCCCGGGCCU
rnacentral:rRNA from 1 species